rnacentral:rRNA from 1 species
AUUGAACGCUGGCGGCAUGCUUUACACAUGCAAGUCGAACGGGGUGGGGGGCAACUCCCAUUCAGUGGCGAACGGGUGAGUAAUGCAUCGGAACGUAUCCCGUAGUGGGGGACAACGCCGCGAAAGCGGCGCUAAUACCGCAUAUGCUCUACGGAGGAAAGUGGGGGACCGCAAGGCCUCACGCUAUGGGAGCGGCCGAUGUCCGAUUAGCUAGUUGUUGGGUUAAUGGCCCACCAAGGCGACGAUCGGUAGCUGGUCUGAGAGGAUGAUCAGCCACACUGGGACUGAGACACGGCCCAGACUCCUACGGGAGGCAGCAGUGGUGAAUUUUGGACAAUGGGGGCAACCCUGAUCCAGCCAUGCCGCGUGCGGGAAGAAGGCCUUCGGGUUGUAAACCGCUUUUAGUCGGGAAGAAAAGGCGUCUCCUAAUACGGGGCGUUCUUGACGGUACCGGCGGAAUAAGCACCGGCUAACUACGUGCCAGCCGCCGCCGUAAAAC